CAUUACUGAGUUUACGCUCUAUAACCCUUUGUGAACAUACCUAUAACUGUUGCUUCGGCGGGUAGGGUCUCCGCGACCCUCCCGGCCUCCCGCCUCCGGGCGGGUCGGCGCCCGCCGGAGGAUAACCAAACUCUGAUUUAACGACGUUUCUUCUGAGUGGUACAAGCAAAUAAUCAAAACUUUUAACAACGGAUCUCUUGGUUCUGGCAUCGAUGAAGAACGCAGCGAAAUGCGAUAAGUAAUGUGAAUUGCAGAAUUCAGUGAAUCAUCGAAUCUUUGAACGCACAUUGCGCCCGCCAGCAUUCUGGCGGGCAUGCCUGUUCGAGCGUCAUUUCAACCCUCAAGCUCUGCUUGGUGUUGGGGCCCUACAGCUGAUGUAGGCCCUCAAAGGUAGUGGCGGACCCUCCCGGAGCCUCCUUUGCGUAGUAACUUUACGUCUCGCACUGGGAUCCGGAGGGACUCUUGCCGUAAAACCCCCCAAUUUUCCAAAGGUUGACCUCGGAUCAGGUAGGAAUACCCGCUGAACUUAAGCAUAUCAAUAAGCGGAGGAAAAGAAACCAACAGGGAUUGCCUCAGUAACGGCGAGUGAAGCGGCAACAGCUCAAAUUUGAAAUCUGGCCCUAGGCCCGAGUUGUAAUUUGCAGAGGAUGCUUUUGGUGCGGUGCCUUCCAAGUUCCCUAGAACGGGACGCCAGAGAGGGUGAGAGCCCCGUACAGUUGGACACCAAGCCUUUGUAAAGCUCCUUCGACGAGUCGAGUAGUUUGGGAAUGCUGCUCAAAAUGGGAGGUAUAUUUCUUCUAAAGCUAAAUACCGGCCAGAGACCGAUAGCGCACAAGUAGAGUGAUCGAAAGAUGAAAAGCACUUUGAAAAGAGGG
rnacentral:rRNA from 1 species